rnacentral:rRNA from 1 species
CCUACGGGUGGCAGCAGUGAGGAAUAUUGGUCAAUGGGCGCAAGUCUGAACCAGCCAUGCCGCGUGCAGGAAGACUGCCCUAUGAGUUGUACACUGCUUUUGUACGAGGGUAAACGCAGAUACGCGUACCUGUCUGAAAGUAUUUUACGAAUAAGGAUCGGCUAACUCCGUGCCAGCAGCCGCGGUAAUACGGAGGAUUCGAGCGUUAUCCGGAUUUAUUGGGUUUAAAGGGUGCGUAGGCGGUCGGUUAAGUUAGAUGUGAAAUCCCGAGGCUCAACUUUGGAAUUGCCAUUGAUACUGGCAGGCUAGAGAGUAGUUGAGGUAGGCGGAAUGUAUGGUGGAGCGGUGAAAUGCUUAGAGAUCAUACAGAACACCGAUUGCGAAGGCAGCCUACCAAGCUACUUCUGACGUUGAGGCACGAAAGCGUGGGGAGCAAACAGGAUUAGAUACCCGUGUAGUC